GACGAACGCUGGCGGCGUGCUUAACGCAUGCAAGUCGUACGGUAAGGCCCUUUCGGGGGUACACGAGUGGCGAACGGGUGAGUAACACGUGAGUAACCUGCCCACAACUUUGGGAUAACGCUAGGAAACUGGUGCUAAUACUGGAUAUGUGCUCCUGCUGCAUGGUGGGGGUUGGAAAGCUCCGGCGGUUGUGGAUGGACUCGCGGCCUAUCAGCUUGUUGGUGGGGUAGUGGCCUACCAAGGCGGCGACGGGUAGCCGGCCUGAGAGGGUGACCGGCCACAGUGGGACUGAGAUACGGCCCAGACUCCUACGGGAGGCAGCAGUGGGGAAUAUUGCACAAUGGGCGCAAGCCUGAUGCAGCAACGCCGCGUGCGGGAUGACGGCCUUCGGGUUGUAAACCGCUUUCAGCAGGGACGAAGCUUUUUGUGACGGUACCUGCAGAAGAAGCACCGGCUAACUACGUG
rnacentral:rRNA from 1 species